rnacentral:rRNA from 1 species
GAUGAACGCUGGCGGCGUGCCUAAUACAUGCAAGUCGAGCGAACAGAUGAGGAGCUUGCUCCUCUGACGUUAGCGGCGGACGGGUGAGUAACACGUGGAUAACCUACCUAUAAGACUGGGAUAAUUUCGGGAAACCGGAGCUAAUACCGGAUAAUAUAUUGAACCGCAGGGUUCAAUAGUGAAAGACGGUUUUGCUGUCACUUAUAGAUGGAUCCGCGCCGCAUUAGCUAGUUGGUAAGGUAACGGCUUACCAAGGCAACGAUGCGUAGCCGACCUGAGAGGAUGAUCAGCCACACUGGAACUGAGACACGGUCCAGACUCCUACGGGAGGCAGCAGUAGGGAAUCUUCCGCAAUGGGCGAAAGCCUGACGGAGCAACGCCGCGUGAGUGAUGAAGGUCUUCGGAUCGUAAAGCUCUGUUAUUAGGGAAGAACAAAUGUGUAAGUAACUAUGCACGUCUUGACGGUACCUAAUCAGAAAGCCCCGGCUAACUACGUG